GGGGAUGUAGCUCAGAUGGUAGAGCGCUCGCUUAGCAUGCGAGAGGUCCGGGGAUUGAUACCCCGCAUCUCCA
rnacentral:tRNA from 1 species